rnacentral:rRNA from 1 species
GCCCCUAGCAACACAUAAGUAUUAGGGGUAACGCCUGCCCAGUGACACUGUUAAACGGCCGCGGUAUCCUAACCGUGCAAAGGUAGCAUAAUCACUUGUCUUUUAAAUAAAGACUGGAAUGAAUGGCCAAACGAGGUUCUACCUGUCUCUUACAAAUAAUCAGUGAAAUUGAUCUCCCCGUGCAAAAGCAGGGAUAAAACCAUAAGACGAGAAGACCCUGUGGAACUUCAAAUACAAGUCAACUCUCAUAAAAAACACCUACCCACGGGCCCACAUCUAUCAGCACCUGACUUAUAUUUUUCGGUUGGGGCGACCUCGGAGCAAAACAAAACCUCCGAAAAAGAACUAUAUCUAAACCUAGACCUACAACCCAAAGUGCCUCCGGCAAAACGAUCCAAUAUACUUGAUCAACGAACCAAGCUACCCCAGGGAUAACAGCGCAAUCCCAUCCUAGAGUUCCUAUCGACGAUGGGGUUUACGACCUCGAUGUUGGAUCAGGACAUCCUGAUGGUGCAGCCGCUAUCAAGGGUUCGUUUGUUCAACGAUUAAUAGUCCUACGUGA